rnacentral:lncRNA from 1 species
AGGGAACCAGCCCCUAGGUGGGCUGGUGCGCCCCCCACCCAGCCCAUGCGCAUCAGAGAAAGGGGGAAGGGGGAAACCCUAGGCGCAGUUGAGGCCCAAGGCCCACCUAGGGUGCGCCCCCCCUUUCCCUGCCCUGGCCGCCGCCCCCCUCCCAUCUGGUGGCUGCCGCACCACCUAGGUGGGGAACCCUAGGGGUGGCGCACCCCCUCCCCCUCCUCCUAUAAAUAUAGAGGGGUUUUGUCCAUUGGAGAACACACUUUGCCCUCUCUCUCGGCGCAGCCCUGCUCUUCUUCCNGCGCGGGAGACGUCACCGGGCUGCACGUGUGUUGAACGCGGAGGUGCCGUUGUUCGGCACUAGAUCGGAAUCGCUGCGAGUACGACUCCAUCAACCGUGUUCUAGCAACGCUUCCGCUUAGCGAUCUUCAAAGGUAUGAAGAUGCUCUUACCCCUCUUUCGUUGCUGGUCUCUCCAUAGGAAGAUCUGAAUAUGCGUAGGAAAAUUUUGAAUUUAUGCUACGUUACCCAACAGUGGCAUCCAACCAGGUUUUCUAUGCGUAGAUUCUAUGCACGAGUAGAACACAAAAGUUGUGGGCGAUGAUUUGUCAAUUUGCUUGCCGCUACUAGUCUUAUUCUUUUCCGGCGGUAUUGUGGUAUGAAGCGGCCCGGACCGACUUUACACGUACACUUACGUGAGACUGGUUCCACCGACAGACAUGCACAUCGUGCAUAAAGGUGGCUAGCGGGUGUCUCUCUCUCCUACUCUAGUCGGAUUGGAUUUGAUGAAAAGGGUCCUUAUGAAGGGUAAAUAGCUUUGGCAUAUAAUCGUUGUGGCUGUCACGUAGGUAAGAAGGCGUUCUUGCUAGAAACCCAAAUCAGCCACGUAAAACUUGCAACAACAAUUAGAGGACGUCUAACUUGUUUUUGCAGGGUUUGACAUGUGAUGUGAUAUGGCCAAAGUUGUGAUGUUGCAUGUAUAAUGUAUGAGAUGAUCAUGUUAUUGUAAUAGGUUUCACGACUUGCAUGUCGAUGAGUAUGACAACCGGCAGGAGCCAUAGGAGUUGUCUUAAUUUAUUGUAUGAGAUGCAACGCCAUGUGCUUACUACUUUUACUUCAUUGCUAACGGUUAGCUAUAGUAGUAGUGAUAGUAGUAGUUGGCGUGACGACUUCACGGAGACACGAUGAUGGAGAUCAUGAUGAUGGAGAUCAUGGUGUCACGCCGGUGACGAUGAUGAUCAUGCGAUGCCUGAAGAUGGAGAUCGAAAGAGCAAAGAUGAUAAUGGCCAUAUCAUGUCACUAUAUGAUUGCAUUGUGAUGUUUAUCAUGUUUUACAUCUUAUUGCUUAGAACGACGGUAGCAUAAUAAGAUGAUCCCUCUUGAAAUUUCGAGAACGUAUUCCCCUAAGUGUGCACCAUUGCGAAGGUUCGUUGUCUCGAAGCACCACGUGAUGAUCGGGUGUGAUAGAAUCUAAGGUUCGCAUACAACGGGUGUAAGCCAGAUUUACACAGGCGAAACACCUAGGUUGACUCGACGAGCUUAGCAUGUACAGACAUGACCUCGAAUACAAGAGACCGAAAGGUCGAACAUGAUUCGUAUGGUUGAAUACGAUCAGCAUGGAGUUGCUCACCAUGGUGACUAGUCCGUCUCACGUGAUGAUCGGACACGGGUUAGUCAACAUGGAUCAUGUAUCACUUAGAUGACUAGAGGGAUGUCGAUUUAAGUGGGAGUUCAUAUUUAAUUUGAUUAAAUGAACUUAAUUGUCAUGAACUUAGUCUAAAAGUUGUCUUUAUAAAUAUUGUAGAUGUCCAACGUCAACCUCAAUUUCAACGCAUUCCUAGAGAAAAACAAGCUGAAAGAUGAUGGUAGCAACUAUGCGGACUGGGUUNNNNNNNNNNNNNNNNNNNNNNNNNNNNNNNNNNNNNNNNNNNNNNNNNNNNNNNNNNNNNNNNNNNNNNNNNNNNNNNNNNNNNNNNNNNNNNNNNNNNCGAGACACCUCUCUGGCCAAUAACCAUCAGCGGGGUCUGGAUACCCAUGGUGGCUCCCACUUGCUCCACGAUGAUCUCAUCGGAUGAACCACGAUGUCAAGGAUUCAAUCAAUCCCGUAUACGAUUCCCUUUGUCUGUCGGUAUAGAACUUGCCCGAGAUUCGAUCGUCGGUAUACCUAUACCUUGUUCAAUCUCGUUACCAGUAAGUCUCUUUACUCGUUCCGUAGCACGUCAUCGUGUGACUAACUCCUUAGUCACAUUGAGCUCAUGAUGAUGUUCUACCGAGUGGGCCCAGAGAUACCUCUCCGUCACACGGAGUGACAAAUCCCGAUCUCGAUUCGUACCAACCCAAUAGAUACUUUCGGAGGUACCCGUAGUGCACCUUUAUAGUCACCCAGUUACGUUGUGACGUUUGAUACACUUAAAGCACUCCUACGGUAUCCGAGAGUUGCACAAUCUCAUGGUCGAAGGAAAAGAUACUUGACAUUAGAAAAUCAUUAGCAUACGAACAAUACGAUCUAGUGCUAGGCUUAGGAUUGGGUCUUGUCCAUCACAUCAUUCUCCCAAUGAUGUGAUCCCAUUAUCAAUGACAUCUAAUGCCCAUGAUCAGGAAACCAUGAUCAUCUAUUGAAUAACGAGCUAGCCAACUAGAGGCUUGCUAGGGACACAUUGUGAUCUAUUUAUUCACACAUGUAUUACUGUUUCCUGUUAAUACAAUUAUAGCAUGAACAAUAGACGAUUAUCAUGAACGAGGAAAUAUGAUAAUAACCAUUUUAUUAUUGCCUCUAGGGCAUAUUUCCAACACCUAUUGCAUAUGGUGGGUGGGUCUAUGCAGUCUCUUCGUCAGUUGUCCCCUCCACCACUCCUUUCUUCUUCCUCAUCUCUCCGCCGCCAUAACUCAUUUUCUUCUCCAUCAUCUCCGACGUUCCCUCUCUUUCCUGCUGCAGCACCUUUGGCAUACGCACUUGGCAAGUGUGCCGCGACGAGACCCCUCUCCAGCAGACGCCCAGCUCUAGGAACUCGAACUGCGUGUUGUAGGUGCUGCAAGCAUAGGUUGCCGAGUUGGAACGCUAGCCACCCCGUGUCGCGAACUGGUUACACCGGUGAGCUGAAAAUGGCGCACGCGACCUGCCGUGCUACAACCAUUGAUACAAUAUGUUGGAACCCGCCGACAGAGGAGCUGCAACCGGCCAAGCCAAGAGCUGGAACCGACGCAUGUUGUGCUGGGCAUCGCCACACGUGCCAUGUUAGAACCAUGUUCUGGCGAUGCUAGAACCGUGUUCCAGAGAUGUUGGAACCAUGUUCUAGCAAUGUUGGAACCGUGUUUUAGCAAUGCUGGAAUGGGGGUCGGUGAUGCUUAAAAGCUUUAGGACAGCGGGCAAAAUGCUGGAACCAUUACCGACAAAAGUUGCAAUAGUCGUCAGAUUUUGCUACCACCGGCAAAGGAUUCUGCUACAUGCUUCAUGGCAGAGCUGCAACCCUGCGACGGCGAUGACUUUUUUUCCACAGUCGUAGUUAUUUUUCGCUACCACUGGUGAUGUAUUUUGCCACAUCCAUUAAAUGUCGUUUAGUAUUGGCCGUCCAUAAUCCCGUGCAACUAGUGCCGACGCCGAGUGCGACCGCGGUUGUGCAUCGUGGUGUUGCAUAAUGAUGCAUCAACGGCUGGAGUUGCAGCCAGUUAGGGCGGAGUUGCAAGCGAAAUUGAUGAGCGGGGAAGUUCUUCGACAAGCAGCGGAGGGCUGCGAGUCGUCGGAGUGUGAGCGCCGACGACCGACGUCUGUUUGCCCUCGCGGAGCUGCACACGGAGGCGUAGGAGCGUGGGGUAGGGUGUGGGGAUUUUUUUCUUUGAUAUGCGAUGGGAGAUAGAGGACGAGUCAAGGAUGAAGGAGAGAGCUAGAUCGGAUGACUGAUCUAUGCCAGAUCGAACGGUUGGGGUUCGAGUGGCCGAAACUUUCAGCUAGUACUGCCCUUUCUCUAUCUAUUCUAACACACCAUGAAGCUUGGUGGAGAGUUCAUCCACUACCUCUAUAAAAGCACGAAGAGGCAGAUCCAACUCACCAUCUCACCUGCCUGAUUACGUCAUCAAUCGUCAAGAAUUAUCAUUAAAAAAUUCAUCCCAGCUAACGAAACCAAUUGAAGCCAAUCCCAUCGGCGAGGAAACCCACCCACACUUCCACGCCCGGGAACCGCUCACAAAAUCACCUCGCUUGAGAACUCAUCCAGGCCUAGCUCNNNNNNNNNNNNNNNNNNNNNNNNNNNNNNNNNNNNNNNNNNNNNNNNNNNNNNNNNNAGCCGCCGUCGCUGCCUCGCGCAACAACCACAACCAUUGCCCUCGCCUCACAUAGCGACGCGUCGCCCGUCGCUCGGCCAACCCGGACAAGCAGGACAAGGGCGCAGGGCAAGGAAAGGACAUGGGCGAUCGCAAUGAACCCUCCUUUCAUGGUAUUUAUCAUUUUUAUGCGAUGAACGCAACCUGUAGGUGCCUCCGUUCAUGAUUUGCAUAUCCAGAAUUUGUUGUCUGGCCAUCUAAGAGAAUUAGCUCACUACGCUAAGGAAUUAGGACAAUUCAGUUACAUGAUCUGACUGUUUAUAGAGGGAUCUAAAAGACUGAUGAUAUGCAAAUAUGAUCUCAAGUCUCAAAGUGCAUGUUGUUCUAUGUUCUUGGGCAUGUACAAAGGCUUAGAUAAACACCACCAAGGUUGAGGACGAAAAAGAUUGCACACACUAACCAUUAUUAUCUUCUUGUGAUAAUUUUAGGCUUGUACGAGGAAACUUGAAGAGGCAAUUUUAGUUGGUGGUGUGCUUUAAUAUUUCAUAUUGUUGUUCGUGUGUUCCUGUUGGAAAUAUGCCCUAGAGGCAAUAAUAAAGUGGUUAUUAUUAUAUUUCCUUGUUCAUGAUAAUUUUCUAUUGUUCAUGCUACAAUUGUAUUAACUGGAAACAGUAAUACAUGUGUGAAUAUAUAGACCACACCAAGUCCCUAGUGAGCCUCUAGUUGACUAGCUCGUUGAUCAAAGAUGGUUAAUGUUUCCUAACCAUAGACAAGUGUUCUCACUUGAGUUCUAGAAUGGUCUGGAAACGAAGAUUGAUAUAUAGGAAGUUGGUAGUUCGUAGUAUCAUUUCCCUAGACCAUGAGAUUGUGCAACUCCCGGAUACCGUAGGAGUGCUUUGGGUGUAUCAAGAAUCACAACGUAACUGGGUGAUUAUAAUGGUGCACUACAGGUAUCUCUGGAAGUGUAUGUUGGGUGGGCACGAAUCGAGAUUGGGAUUUGUCACUCCGUAUGAAGGAGAGGUAUCUCUGGGCCCACUGAGUAAUACAUCAUCCUAUUGAGCUCAGUGUGACUAAGGAGUUAGUCACAGGAUCAUGUGUUACGGAACGAGUAAAAAAACUUGCCUCUAACGAUAUUGAACAAGGUAUGGGGAUACCGACGAUCGGAUUUCGGGCAAGUUAUAUACCGAUAGACAAAGGGAAUUGCAUACGGGAUUGAUUGAAUCCCCGACAUCGUGGUUCAUCCGAUGAGAUCAUCGUGGAACAUGUGGGAGCCAACAUGGAUAUCCAGAUCCCGCUAUUGGUUAUUGACCGGGGAGGUGUCUCGGUCAUGUCUGCAUGGUUCCCGAACUCGUAGGGUCUACACACUUAAGGUUCGAUGACGCUAGAGUUGUAAUGAGAAUAAUAUGUGGUUAUCAAAAGUUGUUCGGAGCCCCGGAUGAGAUCCCAGACGUCCCGAGGAGCUCCGGAAUGGUCAGUAGGUAAAGAUUCAUAUAUAGGAAGUGGAGAUUAGAUCACAGGAAAUGUUUCGAGGAUCAUCGGUAUUGUACCGGGACUACCGGAAGGGUUACGGGGGUUCACCAGCCCCGGAGAGCCACGUGGGCCAAAAGUGGAAGGAAACCAACCCCUAGAUGGGCUGGUGCGUCACCCACCAAGGCCCAAGGAACCUAGGGCUAGCAACCCUAGGGCGUGGAGGUGGCCCACCUCCAACUUGGGAGGCAAGCCACCUCCCACCUGGCCACCGCCCCCUGCUUGGACCGCCGCCCCUCCUAGGGUUACCUAGGGUGGCCGGCCUGCCUUUCCCCUCCCCUAUAUAUACCCAAGGGUUUUGGGGCUGCAACACACAACUUUUCUCUCCCUCUUGGUGCAACCCUACCCUCUCUCUUUCUCCUCCUCCGCGGUGCUUGGCGAAGCCGUGCCGGAGAACCACAUAGCUACACCGCCACCACGCCGACGUGCUGUCGAAGCUCUCCAUCAACUUCCCCUCUCCCCUUGCUGGUUCAAGGUAGAGGAGACAUCAUCGGUUUGCACGUGUGUUGAACGCGGAGGCGUCGUUGUUCGGCGCUUUGGAUCACAUCUACCGCGAUUUGAAUCGCUAUGAGUACGACUCCAUCACCCGCAUUCCUAGUAACGCUUCCGCUUAGCAAUCUUCAAAGGUAUGAAGAUGCUCUACCCCUUGCUCGUUGCUAGCAUCUCCUAGAUUGAUCUUGCUGUUUCGUUGCUAGCAUCUCCUAGAUUGAUCUUGCCGCGCCCGAAGAUGGAGAUCAAAGGCGCAAGAUGAUAAUGGCCAUAUCAUGUCACUAUAUGAUUUGCAUGUGAUGUUUAUCAUGUUGUUCAUCUUAUUGCUUAGAAUGACGGUAGCAAAGAUAAGAUGAUCCCUCGUUAAAUUUCAAGAUAAGUAUUCCCCUAAGUGUGCACCGUUGUGAAGGAUCGUUGUCUUGAAGCACCAUGUGAUGGUCGGGUGUGAUAGAUUCUAACGUUCGCAUACAAUGGGUGUAAGCCAGAUUUACACACACAAAACACUUAGGUUGACUUGACGAGCCUAGCAUGUACAGGAAUGGCCUCAGAAUACGAGAGACCAAAAGGUCGAACAUGAGUCGUAUGGAUGAUACGAUCAACAUGGAGAUGUUCACCAUUGAUGACUAGUCUGUCUCACGUGAUGAUCGGACACGGGCUAGUCGACAUGGAUCAUGUAUCACUUAGAUGACUAGAGGGAUGUCAAUCUAAGUGCGAGUUCAUUAAAUAAUUUGAUUAGAUGAACUUAAUUAUCAUGAACUUAGUCUAACAAUGUCUUUACAGUAUUGUAGAUCCAAUGGCCAAUGCUCCUGUCAACCUCAAUUUCAACACGUUCCUAGAGAAAACCAAGCUGAAAGACGAUGGUAGAAACUAUGUGGACUGAGCUCGUAACUUAAAGCUCAUCCUCAUUGCUUCCAAGAAGGCAUAUGUCCUUGAUGCGUCGCUAGGUGACCCUCCCGUUCCCACGGCAGCCCAGGACGUUCAUAACGCGUGGCAGUCACGAAGUGAUGACUACUCUCUGGUUCAUUGUGGCAUGCUAUACAGUUUAGAACCGGGGCUCAAAAAACGUUUUGAGCAACCUGGAGCAUAUGACAUGUUCGAGGAGCUGAAAUUGGUUUUCCAAGAUCAUGCCCAGAUCAAGAGAUAUGAGGUCUCCGACUAGUUCCUCAGCUGUAAGAUGGAGGAAAAUAGUUCUGUCAGUGAGCACAUACCCAGAAUGUGUGGGUUGCACAACCGUCUGUCUCAGCUGGAAGUUAAUCUUCCGGAUGACGCGGUUAUUGACAGAAUCCUCCAGUCGCUUCCACAUAGCUACAAGAGGUUCGUGAUGAAUUAUAACAUGCAAGGGAUGGAAAAGAACAUUCCCGAGUUAUAUUCAAUGCUGAGAUCAGCGGAGGUGGAAAUCAAGAAGGAACAUCAAGUGUUGAUGGUGAAUAAGACCACUAGUUUAAUAAAAGGCAAGGGUAAAAAGAACUUCAAGAAGGACGGCAAAGAAGUUGCCACGCCCGGUAAAAAGGUUUCCUGGAAGAAGCGCAAGAAUGUCGCAAGCCUGAGACUGAGUGUUGUCAUUGCAAGGGAGCCAGUCACUGGAAGCGAAACUACCCCAAAUACUUAGCGGAUAAGAAGGCCGGAAAUGUCAAAGGUAUAUAUGAUGUACAUGUUAUUGAUGUGUACCUUACCAGCACUCGUAGUAGCUCCUAGGUAUUUGAUACCGGUGUUGUUGCUCACAUUUGCAACUGAAAAACAGGAACUGCAGAAUAAGCAGAGACUGGCAAAGGGCAAUGUGACGAUGCUCGUGGGAAUGGUUCCAAGGUCGAUGUGAUCGUCGUCGGCACGCUACCUCUACAUCUACCUUCGGGAUUAGUUUUAAACCUUAAUAAUUGUUAUUUAGUACUAGCUUUGAGCAUGAACAUUGUAUCUGAAUCUCGUUUGAUGCGAGAUGGCUACUCAUUUAAAUCUUAGAAUAAUGGUUGUUCUAUUUAUAUGAGUGAUAUGUUUUAUGGUCAUGUCCAUCUGGUCAAAGUUUAUUCUUAAUGAAUCUCGAACGUGAUGUUAUGCAUAUUCAUAGUGUGAGUACUAAAAGAUGCAAAAUUAAUAAUGAUAGUCCCACAUACUUGUGGCAUUGCCUCCCUGGUCAUAUCGGCGUCAAACGCAUGAAGAAACUCCAUGCUGACGGACUUUUGGAGUCUCUUGAUAAUGAAUCAUUUGACACGUGCAAGCUGUGCCUCAUGGGUAAGAUGACUAAGACUCUGUUCUCCGGAACAAUGGAGCGAGCAACCAACUUGUUGGAAAUAAUACAUAGCGAUGUAUGCGAUCCAAUGAGCGUUGAGGCUUGCGGUGGCUACCGUUAUGUUCUCACCCUCACUAAUGACUUAAGCAGAUAUGGGUAUGUCUACGUAAUGAAACACAAGUCUGAAACCUUUGAAAGGUUCAAGGAAUUUCAGAGUGAGGUUGAAAAUCAACGUGACAAGAAAAUAAAGUGCCUACGAUCUGAUCAUGGAGGAGAAUAUUUGAGUCACGAGUUUGGCACACACUUAAGAAAAUGUGGAAUUGUUUCACAACUCAUGCUGCCUGGCACACCUCAGUGUAAUGGUGUGUCUGAGCGUCGUAAUCGCACUCUAUUGGAUAUGGUGUAAUCUAUGAUGUCUAUUACUGAUUUAUCGCUAUCAUUUUGGGGAUACGCAUUGGAAACUUCCGCAUUCACUUUAAAUAGGGCACCGUCUAAAUCCGUUGAGAUGACACUGUAUGAAUUAUGCUUUGGGAAGAAACCUAAGCUGUCGUUUCUGAAAGUUUGGGGCUAUGAUGCUUAUGUGAAGAAACUUCAACGUGAGAAGCUCAAACCCAAAGCGAAAAAUGCGUCUUCAUAGGAUACCCUAAGGAAACUAUUGCGUAUACCUUCUAUCUUAGAUUCGAAGGAAAAUCUUUGUUGCCAAGAACGGAUCCUUUCUAGAGAAAGAGUUUCUCUCAAAAGAAGUAAGUGGGAGGAAAAUAGAACUUGAUGAGGUAACUGAAAUCCCUCUUGAACUAGAAAGUAGCGCAGCGUGGGAAAUUGUUCCCGUGGUGCCUGCACCGACUAGAGAGGAAGUUAAUGACGAUGAUCAUGAAACUUCGGAUCAAGUUACUACUGAACCUCUAAGGUCCACAAGGAUAUGUUCCGCACCAGAGUGGUUCGACAACCCAGUCCUAGAAAUAAUGUUGUUAGACAACGGUGAACCUUCGAACUAUGAAGAAGCAAUGGUCGGCCCGGAUUCCAACAAAUGGCUUGAAGCCAUGAAAUUCGAGAUAGGAUCCAUGUAUGAGAACAAAGUAUGGACUUUUGUGGACUUGCCCAAUGAUCAGCAAUCCACAGAAAAUAAAUGGGUCUUUAAGAAGAAUACUGACGCAGAUGGUAAUGUGACCGUCUAUAAGGCUGAGCUUGUCGCUAAGGGUUACCGACAAGUUCAAGGAGUUGACUACGAUGAGACUUUCUCACCCAUAGCGAUGUUGAAGUUCGUCCGAAUCAUGUUAGCAAUUGCCGCAUUUUAUGAUUAUGAGAUCUAGCAAAUGGACGUCAAAACGACAUUCCUUAACAGUUUCCUUAAGGAAGAAUUGUAUAUGAUGCAUCCAGAAGGUUUUGUCGAUCCUAAGAGUGCUGACAAGGUAUGCGAGCUCCAACGCUCCAUCUAUGGGCUGGUGCAAGCAUCUCAAAGUUGGAACAUUCACUUUAAUGAGGUGAUUAAAUCGUUCGGGUUUAUGCAGACUUAUUGAAAAGCCUGCAUUUACAAGAAAGUGAGUGGGAGCUCUGUAGCAUUCCUCAUUUUAUAUGUGGACGACAUAUUGCCGAUGGAAAAUGAUAUAGAACUUUUGGAAAGCGUAAAAGCCUACUUGAAUAAGUAUUUUUCAAUGAAGGACCUUGGGGAAGCUGCUUACAUAUUAGGCAUCAAGAUCUAUAUAGAUAGAUCGAGAUGCCUCAUAGGUCUUUCACAAAACACAUACCUUGACAAGAUAUUGAAGAAGUUCAAUAUGGAUAAGUCUAAGAAGGUGUUAUUGCAUGUAUAGCAAGGUAUGAGAUUGAGUAAGACUCAAUGCCCGACCAAAGCACAAGAUAGAGAAAAGAUGAGUAACAUCCCCUAUGCUUCAGUCGUAGGCUCUAUUAUGUAUGCCAUAGUGUGUACCAGACCUGAUGUGAACCUUGCCAUGAGUUUGGUAGGGAGGUACCAAAGUGAUCCUGGUAUGGAACGCUGGACAACGGUCAAUAAUAUCCUAAAGUACCUGAAAAGGACUAAAGAUAUGUUUCUCGUUUAUGGAGGUGCCGAAGAGCUCGUCGUAAAGGGUUACGCCGAUGAUAGCUUCGACAGAGAUCCGGAUGACUCCAAGUCACAAAUCGGAUACGUGUAUGUUUUGAAUGGUGGGGUAGUCAGCUGGUGCACUUUUAAGCAAGGCGUCGUGGCGGCAUCUACAUGUGAAGCAGAGUACAUAGCUGCUGCAGAAGCAGCGCAUGAAGGGAUCUGGAUGAAGGACUUCAUCACUGACCUAGGAGUAAUUCCCAGUGCGUCGGGCCCGAUGACUCUCUUGUGUGAUAACACUGGAGCUAUUGUCAUAGCCAAGGAGCCCAAGCACAUCAAGCGCUGCUUCAACUCCAUCCGUGAUUACAUUCAGGAAGGAGAUAUAGAUAUUUGUAAAGUACAUGCAGAUCUGAAUGUUGUAGAUCUUUUGAGUAAACCUCUUCCGCGAGCGAAACAUGAUCAACACCAGAACUCUACGGGUGUUCGUUUCAUCACAAUGUAACUAGAUUAUUGACUCCAGUGCAAGUGGGGGACUGUUGGAAAUAUGCCCUAGAGGCAAUAAUAAAGUGGUUAUUAUUAUAUUUCCUUGUUCAUAAUAAUUGUCUAUUGUUCAUGCUACAAUUGUAUUAAGAGGAAACAGUAAUACAUGUGUGAAUAUAUAGACCACACCAAGUCCCUAGUGAGCCUCUAGUUGACUAGAUGGUGGAUCAAUAGAUGGUCAUGGUUUCCUGCUCAUGGACAUUGGAUGUCAUUGAUAAUGGGAUCACAUCAUUAGGAGAAUGAUGUGAUGGACAAGACACAAUCCUAAGCAUAGCACAAGAUCGUGUAGUUUGUCUCCUAAAGCUUUUCUAAUGUCAAUUAUCAUUUCCUUAGACCAUGAGAUUGUGCAACUCCCAGAUACCGUAGGAGUGCUUUGGGUGUAUCAAAAGUCACAACGUAACUGGGUGAUUAUAAAGGUGCACUACAGGUAUCUCCGAAAGUGUCUGUUGGGUGGGCACGAAUCGAGACUGGGAUUUGUGACUCCGUAUGACGGAGAGGUAUCUCUGGGAUCACUCGGUAAUACACCAUCCUGUUGAGCUCAAUGUGACUAAGGAGUUAGUCACACGAUCAUGUGUUACAGAACGAGUAAAAGACUUGCGAGUAACGAUAUUGAACAAGGUAUGAGGAUACCGACGAUAGGGUCUCGGGCAAGUUAUAUACCGAUAGACAAAGGGAAUUGCAUACGGGAUUGAUUGAAUCCCCGACAUCGUGGUUCAUCCGAUGAGAUCAUCGUGGAACAUGUGGGAGACAAUAUGGAUAUCCAGAUCCCCCUGUUGGUUAUUAACCGGAGAGGUGUCUCGGUCAUGUCUGCAUGGUUCCCGAACCCGUAGGGUCUACACACUUAAGGUUCGAUGACGCUAGAAUUGUAAUGAGAAUAGUAUGUGGUUACCGAAAGUUGUUCAGAGUCCCGGGUGAGAUCCCGGAUGUCACGAGGAGCUCCGGAAUGGUCCGGAGGUAAAGAUUCAUAUAUAGGAAGUGGAUAUUAGAUCACCGGAAAUGUUUCAAGGAUCAUCUGUAUUGUACUGGGACCACCAUAAGGGUUUCGAGGGUCCACCGGGAGGGGCCACCAGCCCCGGAGAGCCACGUAGGCCAAAAGUGGAAGGGAACCAGCCGCUAGAUGGGUUGGUGCGCCACCCACCAAGGCCCAAGGCGCCUAGGGCUGGUUACCCUAGGGCGUGGAGGUGGCCCACCUCCAACUUGGGAGGCAAGCCACCUCCCACCUGGCAACCGUCCCCUGCUUGGGCCACCGCCCCUCCCAUAUGGGUGGCCGCCGCCCCUCCUAGGGUUUCCUAGGGUGGCCGGCCUGCCCUUCCCCUCCUCCUAUAUAUAUCCAAUGGUUUUGGGGCUGCAACAUGCAAGUUUUCACUCCCUCUCGGCGCAGCCCUACCCUCUCUCUCCAUCCUCCUCCGCGGUGCUUGGCGAAGCCCUGUCGGAGAACCACAUAGCUCCACCGCCACCACACCGUCGUGCUGCCGGAGCUCUCCACCAACUUCCCCUCUCCGCUUUCUGGUUCAAGGUAGACGAGACGUCACCGGGAUGCACGUGUGUUGAACAUGGAGGCACCGUUUGUCGGCCCUUUGGAUCACAUCUACUGCGAUCUGAAUCGCUACGAGUACGACUCCAUCACCCGCGUUCAUAGUAACGCUUCCGCUUAGCAAUCUUCAAAAGUAUGAAGAUCAUCUACCCCUUGCUCGUUGCUAGCAUUUCCUAGAUUGAUCUUGGUGUUUCGUAGGAAUUUUUUUGAAUUUCUCCCUCGAGCCCCAACAGUUCCUCCAUCAUCGUGUCUUCUUCUAUUAGUUUGAAUUUUCUAGCGCAUGAACUACCAAGUGAAUUUUCCUAGCUCCGAUGGUUGCGCCACUGAGGAUGCUAUCAGCGAAAAUAAAGGCAAUUUGUACUGGGACGUCUUGGCCGAGCUGCAGGACCUCCGCCUCGACGAGCUGUAGAAUCUCCACCUCGCUCUGGUUUUUGUGGUACGGGCCCUUCCCCACUCCAUCAAAUAGUGACUUAUAUUUUGUUCUGCUUUGUUCUUAGACAAGUGUGGUAAAUUGUAUGGUAAAGUGUGGCAUCUACUACCCCUAUAAAGCACGAAGAGACAGAUCCAAAUCCUCAACUCAGCCAUUUGAUUACAUCAUCAAUGAUCAAAAAUCAUUGUUAACGAAAUUCAUCCCAUCGCUAACGAAGAUAAUCCCAUCGCUGAGGAAACCCACCCCCACUUCAAUGCUCAAGAACCGCUCGCAAACUCAGCCACGCCGCCCGACCUCCCCACCCCCGAUGGUCGCUCGCCUCGUCCAGCCACCGGCCCCGCUCGGCCCACUUGCCCCCACUCGUCGCUCGCCUCGCGCCGUCGCCCUUGUCUCACACAGCCUCGUGCAGUCGCCGCCCCCGCCUCGUGCAGCCACCGCCACCACCUUGCGCAGCCUCACGCCGUCCUCUCUGCUCACCCGGACAAGCGGGACAAGGGCACCGUUCAAGGAGAGGACAGGGGCGAUCGCGGUGAACCCUCCGUUCAUGGUACUGUAACGUCCAAGAUGUGGCACUAUCCAUAUUUGGGGAUUAGGUCUUAAUAUGGAUAGAGGCACAUCUUAGCGUUUCGCAAGUACAUAAAUCACCGCAAUACAUUUAUGAAGAGAAGAGUAUAUUGAUUAGCUUACACUCGCCACAAGUUAAGUUACAAGCCACACAACAUUAGUUCAAUCAUCCUAAGACCGGGUCCGGCUACAGACAAGAUAAAUGAUAAAAUGCAAUGACUCUGCCUCGUUAGUCUAGGAAACGAGCAAGGUCCUCUAAUCAUCGGGGUACAUUACGUACAAGCGCCCACUGCCUUCAUCGAAAUCCCAUUGAAGAUCGAUAACCCACAAGUAUAGGGGAUCGCAACAGUUUUCGAGGGUAGAGUAUUCAACCCAAAUUUAUUGAUUCAACUCAAGGGGAAGCGAAAGAAUAUUCUCAAGUAUUAGCAGUUGAGCUGUCAAUUCAACGACACCUAAAAGAUUUAGUAUCAGUAGCAAAGUAGGGUGAUAGCAGCAGUAGCAACAGUAACCAGUAGCAGCAAAGUAACAACAGUAGGAACAGAGUAACAACAGCAGCAGUCACAGCAGUAGCGGCAAAGUAACGUAGCAAGGACCAGUAGAAAAAGACUCGUAGGCAUUGGAUCAGUGAUGGAUGAUUAUGCCGGAUGUGAUUGAUCAUGCAACAGUUAUAACACGGAGAGAUAAGUAAAUAGCUCCAGUUCGUCAAUCUAAUGUAGGCAUGUAUUCCGCAUGUAGUCAUACGUGCUUAGGGAAAAUAACUUGCAUGACAUCUAUUGUCCAUCCCUCCCAUGGCAGCGGGGUCCUAAUGGAAACUACAGGAUAUUAAGGUUCUCCUUUGAAUAAAGAACCGGACCAAUGCAUUAACACUUGGUGAAUACAUGAACUCCUCAUACUAUGGUCAUCUCCGGGAGUGGUUCCGGCUAUUGUCACUCCGGGGUUGCAGGGUCAUAACACAUAGUAGGUGACUACAACUUGCAAGAUAGGAUCUAAAACACACAUAUAUUGGCGACAACAUAAUAGGUUCAGAUCUGAAAUCAUGGCACUCGAGCCCUAGUGACAAGCAUUAAGCAUGGCAAAGUAGUAGCAACAUCAAUCUCAGAACAUAGUGGAUACUAGGGAUCAAUUCCCGUCAAAACUAACUCGAUUACAUGAUAGAUCUCAUCCAACCCAUCACCGUCUAGAAAGCCUACGAAUAGAUUACUCACGAACGGUGAAGAGCAUCAUGGAAUUGGCGAUGAAGGAAGGUUGGUGAUGACGAUGGCGUCAAAGUUUGUUUUCUUGUGCUAAUGAUAUCACGAGUUUCUGUUUAAGUUUUGUGUUGUGAAGUUUUCAAGUUUUGGGUGAUGAUCUCAUGGACAAAGGGAUAAAGAGUGGAAAGAGCUCAAGCUUGGGGAUGCCCAAGGCAUCCCAAGCCAAAUUCAAGGACACCAAAAAGCCUAAGCUGGGGGAUGCCCCGGGAAGACAUCCCCUCUUUCGUCUCCAAUCCAUCGGUAAUAUUACUUGGAGCUAUAUUUUUAUUCACCACAUGAUAUGUGUUUUGCUUGGAGCGUCUUGUAUCAUAGGAGUCCUUUAUUUUUGUUGUGUCACAAUCAUCCUUGCUGCACACCUUUUGAGAGAGACAUGCACUCAUCGUGAAUUUUCUAGAAUACUCAUUGAGCUUCGCUUAUAUCUUUUGAGUUAGGCAAUUUAGCUCAUUGUGCUUCACUUAUAUCUUUUGAUCUAGAUAACUUUUCUCUUUGUGCUUCACUUAGAUCUUUUAGAGCACGGCGGUGUCAUAUUUUGGAGAAAUAAGAACUCUCGAUCUUCACUUAUAUCUUUUUGAGAGUGCUCUCUCUGAGUAACUUGGUAGUUGGCUUGUGUUAUGAAAGUAGUCCGAAAGAUGAUAGGCGCCCAAAGAGGAUACAAUAAAACUUCCAUAUUCAUGUGCAUUGAUUAGAAAGAGAAGUUUGAUUCCUCUCAAAUAGUUUUGAGACAUGGAUUUGGUAAUAUUAAGAGUUAUGCUAGUAGGGUGUUGUGAAUCUAGAAAUACUUGUGUUGAAGUUAGUGAUUCCCGUAACAUGCACGUAUGGUGGACCGCUAUGUUAGGAAGUCGGAGCAUAUUUGAUUUAUUGAUUGUCAUCCUUUGUGUUGCGGUCGGGAUUGCGCGAUGGUUAACACCUACCAACCCUUCCCCUAGGAGUAUGCGUUUAGCACUUUGUUUCGAUUACUAAUAAAAACUUUCGCAAUAAGUAUGUGAGUUCUUCAUGACUAAUGUGAGUCCAUGGUAUAGAUACACUUUCACCUUCCACCAUUGCUAGCCUCUCUAGUGCCGUGCAACUUUCGUCGGUACACAAAACCACAAUAUGCCUUCCUCAAAACAACCACCAUACCUACCUACUAUGGCAUUUUCAUAGCCAUUCCGAGAUAUAUUGCCAUGCAACUCCCACCGUUCGGUCUCAUGACUUGUGUCGUNNNNNNNNNNNNNNNNNNNNNNNNNNNNNNNNNNNNNNNNNNNNNNNNNNNNNNNNNNNNNNNNNNNNNNNNNNNNNNNNNNNNNNNNNNNNNNNNNNNNGUGAUCUCAUCCGGGACUCCGAACAACAUUCGGUAACCAACCAUAUAACUCAAAUACGCAUAAAACAACGUCGAACCUUAAGUGUGCAGACCCUGCGGGUUCGAGAACUAUGUAGACAUGACCCGAGUGACUCCUCGGUCAAUAUCCAAUAGCGGGACCUGGAUGCCCAUAUUGGAUCCUACAUAUUCUACGAAGAUCUUAUCGUUUGAACUUCAGUGCCAAGGAUUCAUAUAAUCCCGUAUGUCAUUCCCUUUGUCCUUCGGUAUGUUACUUGCCCGAGAUUCGAUCGUCAGUAUCCGCAUACCUAUUUCAAUCUCGUUUANCCGGCAAGUCUCUUUACUCAUUCCGUAAUACAAGAUCCCGCAACUUACACUAAGUCACAUUGCUUGCAAGGCUUGUGUGUGAUGUUGUAUUACCGAGUGGGCCCCGAGAUGCCUCUCCGUCACACGGAGUGACAAAUUCCAGUCUCGAUCCAUACUAACUCAACGAACACCUUCGAAGAUACCUGUAGAGCAUCUUUAUAGUCACCCAGUUACGUUGCGACGUUUGAUACACACAAAGCAUUCCUCNNNNNNNNNNNNNNNNNNNNNNNNNNNNNNNNNNNNNNNNNNNNNNNNNNNNNNNNNNNNNNNNNNNNNNNNNNNNNNNNNNNNNNNNNNNNNNNNNNNNACGGUGCCCUAUUUAAAGUGAAUGCUGCAGUUUCUAAUGCGUAUCCCCAAAAUGAUAGCGGUAAGUCGGUAAGAGACAUCAUAGAUCGUACCAUAUCUAAUAAAGUGCGAUUAUGACAUUCACACACCCCAUUACGUUGCGGUGUGCCAAGCGGCGUCAGUUGUGAAACGAUUCCACACUUCCUUAGGUGUGUGCCAAACUCGUGACUCAAAUAUUCUCCUCCACAAUCAGAUCGUAGACAUUUAAUUUUUUCUGUCACGUUGAUUCUCAACCUCACUCUGAAAUUCCUUGAACUUUUCAAACGUCUCAGAUUUGUGCUUCAUCAAGUAGAUAUACCCAUACCUACUCAAAUCAUCGGUGAGAGUGAGAACAUAACGAUAACCACCGCGAGCUUCAACGUUCAUUGGACCACACACAUCAGUAUGUAUUAUUUCCAAUAAGUCGGUUGCUCUCUCCAUUAUUCCUGAGAAUGGAGUCUUAGUCAUCUUGCCCAUGAGGCACAGUUCGCAUGUGUAAAAUGAUUCAAAGUCAAGAGACUCUAAUAGUCCAUCAAUAUGGAGCUUCUUCAUGCGCUUAACGCCGAUAUGACCAAGGCGGCAGUGCCACAAGUAUGUGGGACUGUCAUUAUCAACUUUACAUCUUUUGGUACUCACACUAUGAAUAUGUGUAACAUCACGAUCGAGAUUCAUCAAGAAUAAACCAUUCANNNNNNNNNNNNNNNNNNNNNNNNNNNNNNNNNNNNNNNNNNNNNNNNNNNNNNNNNNNNNNNNNNNNNNNNNNNNNNNNNNNNNNNNNNNNNNNNNNNNAGGUUGACUCGACGAGCUUAGCAUGUACAGACAUGACCUCGAAUACAAGAGACCGAAAGGUCGAACAUGAGUCGUAUGGUUGAAUACGAUCAGCAUGAAGUUGCUCACCAUGGUGACUAGUCCGUCUCACGUGAUGAUCGGACACGGGUUAGUCAACAUGGAUCAUGUAUCACUUAGAUGACUAGAGGGAUGUCGAUUUAAGUGGGAGUUCAUACUUAAUUUGAUUAAAUGAAAUUAAUUGUCAUGAACUUAGUCUAAAAGUUGUCUUUAUAAAUAUUGUAGAUGUCCAACGUCAACCUCAAUUUCAACGCAUUCCUAGAGAAAAACAAGCUGAAAGAUGAUGGUAGCAACUAUGCGGACUGGGUUUGCAACUUGAAGCUCAUCCUCGAAGCAGCUAAAAAGGCUUAUGUCCUUAAUGCGCCGCUAGGUGACCCUCCCGCUCCCGCAGCAGCCCAGGACAUUCUGAACGUCUGGCAAACGCGGAGUGAUGACUACUCUCUGGUCAGGUGUGGCAUGUUAUACAGUUUAGAAACGGGGCUCCAAAGGCGUUUUGAGCAACAUGGGGCAUAUGAGAUGUUCCAGGAGCUACAGCUAGUUUUUCAAGCUCAUGCCCGUGUCGAGAGAUAUGAAGUCUCCGACAAGUUCUUCAGCUGUAAGAUGGAGGAGAACAGUUCUGUCAGUGAGCACAUACUCAAAAUGUCUGGGUUACACGGUCGUCUGACUUCACUUGGAGUCGAACUUCCGGAUGAUGCUAUUAUUGACAGAAUCCUCCAGUCUCUCCCACCAAGCUACAAAGGCUUUGUGCUUAACUACAAUAUGCAAGGGAUGGAGAAGACCAUUCCCGAGUUGUACUCGCUGCUCAACUCUGCAGAAGUAGAAAUCAAGAAAGAGCAUCAAGUCUUGAUGGUCAACAAGACCACUAGUUUCAAGAAAGGCAAGGGUAAGAAGAACUUCAAGAAAGACGGCCAAGCUGUUGCCGCGCCCGGUAAGCCAGAUGCCGGGAAGAAGAAAAAGAACGGACCCAAGCCUGAGACUGAGUGCUUCUAUUGCAAGGGAAAGGGUCACUNNNNNNNNNNNNNNNNNNNNNNNNNNNNNNNNNNNNNNNNNNNNNNNNNNNNNNNNNNNNNNNNNNNNNNNNNNNNNNNNNNNNNNNNNNNNNNNNNNNNUCUCUCCUACUCUAGUCGGAUUGGAUUUGAUGAAAAGGGUCCUUAUGAAGGGUAAAUAGCUUUGGCAUAUAAUCGUUGUGGCUGUCACGUAGGUAAGAAGGCGUUCUUGCUAGAAACCCAAAUCAGCCACGUAAAACUUGCAACAACAAUUAGAGGACGUCUAACUUGUUUUUGCAGGGUUUGACAUGUGAUGUGAUAUGGCCAAAGUUGUGAUGUUGCAUGUAUAAUGUAUGAGAUGAUCAUGUUAUUGUAAUAGGUUUCACGACUUGCAUGUCGAUGAGUAUGACAACCGGCAGGAGCCAUAGGAGUUGUCUUAAUUUAUUGUAUGAGAUGCAACGCCAUGUGCUUACUACUUUUACUUCAUUGCUAACAGUUAGCUAUAGUAGUAGUGAUAGUAGUAGUUGGCGUGACGACAUCACAGAGACACGAUGAUGGAGAUCAUGAUGAUGGAGAUCAUGGUGUCACGCUGGUGACGAUGAUGAUCAUGCGAUGCCUGAAGAUGGAGAUCGAAAGAGCAAAGAUGAUAAUGGCCAUAUCAUGUCACUAUAUGAUUGCAUUGUGAUGUUUAUCAUGUUUUACAUCUUAUUGCUUAAAACGACGGUAGCAUAAUAAGAUGAUCCCUCUUAAAAUUUCAAGAACGUAUUCCCCUAAGUGUGCACCGUUGCGAAGGUUCAUUGUCUCGAAGCACCACGUGAUGAUCGGGUGUGAUAGAUUCUAACAUUCGCAUACAACCGGUGUAAGCCAGAUUUACACACGCGAAACACCUAGGUUGACUCGACGAGCUUAGCAUGUACAGACAUGACCUCGAAUACAAGAGACCGAAAGGUCGAACAUGACUCGUAUGGUUGAAUACGAUCAGCAUGCAGUUGCUCACCAUGGUGACUAGUCCGUCUCACGUGAUGAUCGGACACGGGUUAGUCAACAUGGAUCAUGUAUCACUUAGAUGACUAGAGGGAUGUCGAUUUAAGUGGGAGUUCAUACUUAAUUUGAUUAAAUGAAAUUAAUUGUCAUGAACUUAGUCUAAAAGUUGUCUUUAUAAAUAUUGUAGAUGUCCAACGUCAACCUCAAUUUCAACGCAUUCCUAGAGAAAAACAAGCUGAAAGAUGAUGGUAGCAACUAUGCGGACUGGGUUNNNNNNNNNNNNNNNNNNNNNNNNNNNNNNNNNNNNNNNNNNNNNNNNNNNNNNNNNNNNNNNNNNNNNNNNNNNNNNNNNNNNNNNNNNNNNNNNNNNNAAUACCCAGGAGCUACUACGAGCGCUGGUAAGGUACACAUCAAUAACAUGUAUAUCACAUAUACCUUUAACGUUGCCGGCCUUCUUGUCCGCUAAGUAUUUGGGGCAGUUCCGCUUCCAGUGACCCUUUCCCUUGCAAUAGAAGCACUCAGUCUCAGGCUUGGGUCCGUUCUUUUUCUUCUUCCCGGCAUCUGGCUUACCGGGCGCGGCAACAGCUUGGCCGUCUUUCUUGAAGUUCUUCUUACCCUUGCCUUUCUUGAAACUAGUGGUCUUGUUGACCAUCAAAACUUGAUGCUCUUUCUUGAUUUCUACUUCUGCAGAAUUGAGCACCGAGUACAACUCGGGAAUGGUCUUCUCCAUCCCUUGCAUGUUGUAGUUAAGCACAAAGCCUUUGUAGCUUGGUGGGAGAGACUGGAGGAUUCUGUCAAUUAUAGCAUCAUCCGGAAGUUCGACUCCAAGUGAAGUCAGACGACCGUGUAACCCAGACAUUUUGAGUAUGUGCUCACUGACAGAACUGUUCUCUUCCAUCUUACAGCUAAAGAACUUGUCGGAGACUUCAUAUCUCUCGGCACGGGCAUGAGCUUGAAAAACUAGCUUCAUCUCCUGGAACAUCUCAUAUGCCUCAUGUUGCUCAAAACGCCUUUGGAGCCCCGUUUCUAAACUGUAUAACAUGCUACACCUAACCAGAGAGUAGUCAUCACUCCGCGUUUUCCAGACGUUCAGAAUGUCCUGGGCUGCUGCGGGAGCGGGAGGGUCACCUAGCGGCGCAUCAAGGACAUAAGCCUUUUUAGCUGCUUCAAGGACGAGCUUCAAGUUGCGAACCCAGUCCGCAUAGUUGCUACCAUCAUCUUUCAGCUUGUUUUUCUCUAGGAAUGCGUUGAAAUUGAGGUUGACGUUGGACAUCUACAAUAUUUAUAAAGACAACUUUUAGACUAAGUUCAUGACAAUUAAGUUCAUUUAAUCAAAUUAAAUAUGAACUCCCACUUAAAUCGACAUCCCUCUAGUCAUCUAAGUGAUACAUGAUCCAUGUUGACUAACCCGUGUCCGAUCAUCACGUGAGACGGACUAGUCACCAUGGUGAGCAACUCCAUGCUGAUCGUAUUCAACCAUACGAAUCAUGUUCGACCUUUCGGUCUCUUGUAUUCGAGGUCAUGUCUGUACAUGCUAAGCUCGUCGAGUCAACCUNNNNNNNNNNNNNNNNNNNNNNNNNNNNNNNNNNNNNNNNNNNNNNNNNNNNNNNNNNNNNNNNNNNNNNNNNNNNNNNNNNNNNNNNNNNNNNNNNNNNGCGGAGACUGGCCAAGGACGAGGUGACGAUGCGCGUCGGGAAUGGUUCAAAGGUCGAUGUGAUCGCCGUCAGCACGCUGCCUCUACAUCUACCGUCGGGAUUAGUUUUAAACCUUAAUAAUUGUUAUUUAGUACCAGCUUUAAGCAUGAACAUUGUAUCAGGGUCUUGCUUAAUGCGAGACGGCUACUCAUUUAAGUCAGAGAAUAAUGGUUGUUCUAUUUAUAUGAGUGAUAUGUUUUAUGGUCAUGCUCCGCUGGUGAAUGGUUUAUUCUUGAUGAAUCUCGAUCGUGAUGUUACACAUAUUCAUAGUGUGAGUACCAAAAGAUGCAAAGUUGAUAAUGAUACUCCCACAUACUUGUGGCACUGCCGCCUUGGUCAUAUCGGCGUUAAGCGCAUGAAGAAGCUCCAUACUGAUGGACUAUUAGAGUCUCUUGACUUUGAAUCAUUUGACACAUGCGAACCGUGCCUCAUGGGCAAGAUGACUAAGACUCCAUUCUCAGGAAUAAUGGAGAGAGCAACCGACUUAUUGGAAAUAAUACAUAUUGAUGUGUGUGGUCCAAUGAACGUUGAAGCUCGCGGUGGUUAUCGUUAUGUUCUCACUCUCACCGAUGAUUUGAGUAGGUAUGGGUAUAUCUACUUGAUGAAGCACAAAUCUGAGACGUUUGAAAAGUUCAAGGAAUUUCAGAGUGAGGUUGAGAAUCAACGUGACAGAAAAAUUAAAUGUCUACGAUCUGAUCGUGGAGGAGAAUAUUUGAGUCACGAGUUUGGCACACACCUAAGGAAGUGUGGAAUCGUUUCACAACUGACGCCGCCUGGCACACCGCAGCGCAACGGAGUGUCUGAACGUCGUAAUCGCACUUUAUUAGAUAUGGUACGAUCUAUGAUGUCUCUCACCGACUUACCGCUAUCAUUUUGGGGAUACGCAUUAGAAACUGCAGCAUUCACUUUAAAUAGGGCACCGUCUAAAUCCGUUGAGACGACACCGUAUGAACUAUGGUUUGGCAAGAAACCUAAGUUGUCGUUUCUUAAAGUUUGGGGCUGCGAUGCUUAUGUGAAGAAACUUCAACUAGAAAAGCUCCAACCCAAAGAGGAGAAAUGCGUAUUCAUAGGAUACCCUAAGGAAACUAUUGGGUAUACCUUCUAUCUUAGAUCCGAAGGUAAAACCUUUGUUGCCAAGAACGGAUCCUUUCUAGAGAAAGAGUUUCUCUCGAAAGAAGUAAGUGGGAGGAAGGUAAAACUUGAUGAGGUAAUUGCACCCCCUCUCGAACAGGAAAGUAGCGCAGCGCGGGAAGUUGUUCCUGUGGCGCCUAUACCGAAUGAAGAGGAAGUUAAUGAUGAUGAUCAUGAAGCUUCGGAUCAAGUUACUACUGAACCGCGAAGGUCCACAAGGGCACGCUCCGCACCAGAGUGGUACGGCAACCCUGUGAUGGAAAUCAUGUUGUUAGACAAUGGUGAGCCUUCGAACUAUGAAGAAGCAAUGGCGGGCCCGGAUUCCAACAAAUGGCUUGAGGCUAUGAAAUCCGAGAUAGGAUCCAUGUAUGAGAACAAAGUAUGGACUUUGGUGGACUUGCCCGAUGACCGGCGAGCCAUAGAAAAUAAAUGGAUCUUCAAGAAGAAGACUGAUGCAAACGGUAAUGUAACCGUUUACAAAGCUCGACUUGUCGCAAAGGGUUUUCGACAAAUUCAAGGAGUUGACUACGAAGAGGCUUUCUCUCCCGUAGCGAAGCUGAAAUCAGUUCGAAUCAUGUUAGCAAUUGCCGCCUUUUAUGAUUAUGAAAUUUGGGAAAUGGACGUCAAAACAGCGUUCCUUAACGGGAACCUUAAGGAAGAGUUGUAUAUGAUGCAACCAGAAGGUUUUGUCGACCCUAAGGGUGCUAACAAAGUGUGCAAGCUCCAGCGCUCCAUCUAUGGGCUGGUGCAAGCAUCUCGGAGUUGGAACAUUCGCUUUAAUGAGGUAAUUAAAGCGUUUGGGUUCAUACAGGUUUACGGAGAAACCUGUCUGUACAAGAAAGUGAGUGGGAGCUCUGUAGCUUUCCUCAUACUAUAUGUGGAUGACAUAUUAUUGAUGGGGAAUAAUAUAGAGAUGUUGGAGAGCAUAAAGGCCUAUUUGAACAAGAGUUUUUCAAUGAAGGACCUUGGAGAAGCUGCAUACAUAUUAGGCAUCAAGAUCUAUAGAGAUAGAUCGAGACGCCUCAUAGGUCUUUCGUAAAGUACAUACCUUGACAAGAUAUUGAAGAAGUUCAAUAUGGAAAACUCAAAGAAAGGGUCAUUGCCAGUUUUGCAAGGUAUGAGAUUGAGUAAGACUCAGUCGCCGACCACGGCAGUAGAUAGAGAGAAGAUGAGUUAUGUCCCCUACGCUUCAGCCGUGGGCUCUCUAAUGUAUGCCAUGUUGUGUACCAGACCUGAUAUAAACCUUGCCAUAAGUUUGGUAGGGAGGUACCAAAGUAAUCCCGGUACGGAACACUCGACAGCGGUCAAGAAUAUCCUUAAGUACCUGAAAAGGACUAAGGAAAUAUUUCUCGUUUAUGGAGGUGACGAAGAGCUCGUCGUAAAGGGUUACGUCGACGCUAGCUUCGACAUAGAUCCGGAUGACUCUAAGUCACAGACCGGAUACGUAUAUGUGUUGAAUGGUGGGGCAGUGAGCUGGUGCAACAGCAAGCAAGAAGUCGUGGCAGCAUCUACAUGUGAAGCGGAGUACAUAGCUGCUUCAGAAGCGGCUCAUGAAGGAAUUUGGAUGAAGGAGCUCAUCACUGACCUUGGAGUGGUUCCAAGCGCGUCGGGUCCCAUGACACUCUUCUGUGAUAACACUGGAGCCAUUGCCAUAGCCAAGGAGCCCAGGUUUCACUGAAAGACGAAGCACAUCAAGCGCCGCUACAACUCCAUCCAGGACCAUGUCCAGAGUGGAGUGAUAGAUAUUUGUAAAGUACACACGGAUCUGAAUAUUGCAGACCCGUUGACUAAACCUCUUCCACGAGCAAAACAUGAUCAACACCAUAAUGCUAUGGGUGUUCGAUACAUCACAAUGUAACUAGAUUAUUGACUCUAGUGCAAGUGGGAGACUGUUGGAAAUAUGCCCUAGAGGCAAUAAUAAAAUGGUUAUUAUCAUAUUUCCUCGUUCAUGAUAAUCGUCUAUUGUUCAUGCUAUAAUUGUAUUAACAGGAAACAGUAAUACAUGUGUGAAUAAAUAGAUCACAAUGUGUCCCUAGGAAGCCUCUAGUUGGCUAGCUCGUUAGUCAAUAGAUGAUCAUGGUUUCCUGAUCAUGGGCAUUAGAUGUCAUUGAUAACGGGAUCACAUCAGUGGGAGAAUGAUGUGAUGGACAAGACCCAAUCCUAAGCCUAGCACUAGAUCGUAUUGUUCGUAUGCUAAUGCUUUUCUAAUGUCAAGUAUCUUUUCCUUCGACCGUGAGAUUGUGCAACUCCCAGAUGCCGUAGGAGUGCUUUGGGUGUAUCAAACGUCACAACGUAACUGGGUGACUAUAAAGGUGCACUACGGGUAGGGGGGGGGGGGGGGGUUGGGUUGGUACGAAUCGAGAUCGGGAUUUGUCACUCCGUGUGACGGAGAGGUAUCUCUGGGCCCACUCGGUAGAACAUCAUCAUGAGCUCAAUGUGACUAAGGAGUUAGUCACACGAUGAUGUGCUACGGAACGAGUAAAGAGACUUACCGGUAACGAGAUUGAACAAGGUAUAGGUAUACCGACGAUCGAAUCUCGGGCAAGUUCUAUACCGACAGACANNNNNNNNNNNNNNNNNNNNNNNNNNNNNNNNNNNNNNNNNNNNNNNNNNNNNNNNNNNNNNNNNNNNNNNNNNNNNNNNNNNNNNNNNNNNNNNNNNNNGGGGGGGGGGGAGGGUGUUAGAUUUGUAUUGCCCCUUUUUUGUAUAUCCCCAUUAUAUAAGGGGUUUCUACCACUUUUACCAUAUGUAUAUAUAUUGGCCUUUGGCCCCUGUGAAUAUUUGCUCAUUAUCUAACAGAUCCAACACAAGGUUGGGUCGAAGCUAGUUUAUAUCUGGGACGUUACACCAACCUCUCAAGCCAAUCCAACAUUGCAGACAGAUUUAUGAUACACUUCCUUUUCACGAGCCCGAGGCAAUGUACCUAUGUCAAAAAAAGUAGGAGUUCGAGGCAAUGUACCUAAUACAAACUGUGAAGCCUUCCCACCUAGGCUAUACAUGAGGUCCUUGAGAUGCUCUAUAAGAUAUCGGUUAAAAGAGAAAACGUCCAAAAUAAGAGAAAUAUAACUAUAUUUUUUUUGUAUUUGUCGCUUCAAAGGAUCAGUAUGUUGGACAAGAAGAGAAGCACUGAAGUAGCAUCACUCAUCAUCAAGGUCAAAAUCGUUGUCCGAUGCGCACUCGAGAUAUGAACCAAUCGACUUGCGGAAGAUGAUGAAAGACUUGUCAUCCUGUGAAAAAAGAAUGCAUUAUUUUGCAGGAAGAGGUGUUUCAAGCCAUGGAACAAAAAAAACUGGCUGGUCAUUCAGCUUUAGGCCUGACGGGUAGCUAAAAAUGAAGUCUAAGAAAUGCAAGCAGUUGUGAAUUUUGCCACACCUGCUUCAUCCUUUUCAGUGAUGGUUUGGCAUUUGUUAUCUUAUCUGAUAAGGUGUCACCAUGUUCUGACAAUGUAGCCGUCUCCUCCCCUGUUUGAAGGAUUUGAGUGUAAGAGCAGCAUAUUUCCAUCCAAGGGAAAUAAUGAAUCCUCUAGCUACUUACUUUGAUAUUCAUACUGCUCAAGCAGUUUCUUUUUCUCAACUUCAAUUUGUGAGGAUAGAUCUGCAUAAUAGGACAUGUAACAAGUCAAAUAAGAGCCAAAUAUUUUUGCAGAUUCAAUGAGAUCUGAACGUCUUUUAUGGGAACAUCAUCCAAAUAAUGCUGAGUCGCUAAUAAGCAGUAGCCAAGCAAUGCAUAUUUAGAAACAACACACAUAAUUUGAAUACAAGUGUCAUGUAGAUUCUAUUUGCAUCAAAACCAGGUAUCUCAAUAUUUUUUCUAAAGAUAAGAAUCACAGCUCAUACGUAGUAGCCGAUUACACCAAAUGAGAAACAACCAUCACACGUCACAAUGCCCUAAAAUCCUAGAUAGACCUGGAUAGAAGCACAUGAUAUACUUGUGAAAAUGACAACCAGCUCUUAUUUGACAUACCUUUGAAGGUUUGUAAGUGUGCAUCAUUUUCUUCGCAGAACAUUUCAUAUGUUUCCUGAAGCUUGGUGUACUCUUCGUUCAAUGAACUUUCACACUGCUAAUAGUGCAAAUUACACGCCAUAAUUCAAUCUUAGGCAAAUCAGCAAGUAAGUCGACAAUUCCAAAGAAUUGUAAACUGUGUACCUCUUUCGAAGUGCUUGACAGUACUUUCAGCAAAUUCUGCCUGCACAUGCAAAUAUAACAGUGACACUACGUUCUAAAUAAAAACGAACAAGCUUCCUUUUCUGACAGAACUGGUUUCAGGCGUAAUUGUUCAUGCAGGCAUCGUUUCACAGUUCACAAGCAAGUGAGUUACCUUUCCUUCUCAAACUUGGACUUGGUAUCUUCAAGCAUAGUCUGAAUAUUGGCUGCAACACUGUCAGGUUUAGAAAAGUAAAGGAAUAAACAGGGUAAGAAGAAGGUAAAAGAAUAAUGAUCAGCAACAUUAUGCGCUUCAAACUUCACAGUUCAGUCAGCGGAGUCCCUGUUAGUCCACAUGUUAUAAUUUUCGGCUUCUUUUCCUCCCCGAUGCCUGUGUAAAUAAUUCUUUGUAAUAGUUCUGAGAAGUUUAUAGAAAUGUUCAGGCUGGCUUUGCCGGCCGUAGUUCUGAAAAUCAACUCACCCGAACAAAGCCACACCAUGACAUAAGUACAAAACAUGAAUCCGGGAACCCAUCAAAUUAAUAUGUCCAUUUUCCUCGCAUCACUCACAAUGCAUAUCGCUCCGCAUAAUAUACAAAAACUGACAUAUCACCGAACGAACCUAGUUCCUGCAUUAAUCACAGAAACAGCCGAGUGGACGCAUUGCAGGAUUGCAAACGUGCAACAUUUAUUUGUAUCCCUCCCAGUGACCAUGAACUGUAAGUUUUCCACACAAAUCCGCCAGCACGAAAUGCAUCAUAAGAAGCUGCUAGGAUAGCAUACGCCGAUCCCAAUUUUUUUGCACGCUAGCACAUAGCGAGAUAAGAGAAAAUUUAGAGGUGCAAGUGCAACCGAAAGAACACUGUUCUCCGCACCUGGCGAUGAUCUGCUCGCACAUCUUCUGGCCAGCCUUGUUGGUCCCGCCCUUGAUCAACCGCAGCAGGCACGCGAUCUGCCUCAAGUCGCUGCGCCCGCCACAAAAGUAGCCAUCACGGAGUUAAAGCGAGAAGGAAUUAGAAACGGGAGACACCGAAUCGAAGAGGAAAAGCUCGAAAUCAGAUGUGCGGCACCUGACGAAAUCGCCGUCAGAUUCCGAGCCGGAGCUGGAGCCGGAAUCGGAACCGGAGCCGAAAUCCACGGGGUGGCGCGGCCUCUUCGACGACCGCAGAGCCUCUUCACCCAGGGACAUCCUCCUUCCGCCGCCGGGACUCGCCGCGGGCCGCAUCGCUGGUCGACGAGCGUAGUGCAGCGCAAUUCGAAAUUUGGAGGGGGAGCGAGAGGGUAGUGAUGUAAUACUGGCAAAAUUUUGGUGGCCCACUCACAGUAUUGGCUUUUGUAAGGGAAAGUGUUCGUGCGCGCAAGGCUACGAGCAACUAGUUCCUCCUCUUGUAAUUUUUUUUUCCUUCGACGCGUCCGUUGAAGUGUUCGGCCGGUCGCGUUCCUUCCUCACGUUUUUCUUCCACCUUUUCCUUUUCCCCUCCCGCGCACACUCGGAUUUUUUCACUGUUUUAACCUUUUUUCUAAANNNNNNCACAAAAUGAACCAGAUUUGAAACCAUUUCACGAUCUGACCCUUUUAAAAACGCCACAAGCCGUGGCGUUGCUNNNNNNNNNNNNNNNNNNNNNNNNNNNNNNNNNNNNNNNNNNNNNNNNNNNNNNNNNNNNNNNNNNNNNNNNNNNNNNNNNNNNNNNNNNNNNNNNNNNNUGGACAAGAAUACAUGGAGUUACUCAAGCCAUUGAAUCAUUUGACUUUGUUUUCAAUCUUCACUUGAUGCUUGUUAUUCUUGGCUAUACAAAUGAGUUGUCCAAAUCUUUGCAAAAGAGAGAUCAAGAUACUAUUAAUGCAGUGGCACUUGUUAGUUUGGCAAAGAGUAGAAUGCGACACAUGAGGUGUCAUGGUUAGGAAGAAUUUCUUGCAAAGCUAACCCUAUUUUGCCAGAAACAUGACAUUCAAGUUCCUUUGUGGGAGGAUACUUAUGCAGGGGCAGAAUUAGCAUGGGUUCACGUCUAGGGCCAAAUUAGCUUCAGUGGUGUAUUUUAGAGAUUUUUUGUACUUAGUAAGUAGGUAUUACAAAGACUAUUGUCACUACACCUAGGGCUAUAGCCCCAUUUUCCCUAGGCCUGAUUCCAACAUUGUACUUAUGAGCAUCAUGGAAUAUCACGUUGGUAUAAUGAAGUUCAAACAAAUGAUGAUCGUUAUAAAAGAGAAGUAUAUCUUGGUGUCAUUGAUCAAACCAUUCUAUCCCAUGGACAUAUCAAGCACGGAUUUGAUAAGGCUAGAAUUUCAACUUGCUACUUUUAUUGAUGAUACGAGACAAGAUGAUAUUGGUGAGCUCUCUAUUUUACUUGUUGCAACAAAGAAUCAUAUUCUCUAUGAUUUGGUCUACUUACUCAUCAAAUUGAUAUUGAUUUUACCGAUGGCAACAACGAGUGUUGAAAGGGUAUUUUCUGCAAUGAAUCUAGUGAAAAAUAAAUUAAGGACUAGUAUGGGUGAUGAUCGUUUGGUGACAAUUAUUAAGCGAGAUGUGUUCAUGAAAGUAAAUGAAGAUGACAUAGUUGAUGCUUUCAUGACAAUGCAACGACGUAGAGUUACCUAGUGUUGUAAUUUUCUACUUCUGUUACUUUCAUGUAAGUCUUUUCUAUUGUAACUGGGCACAUUUGAAAUACAUUUUAUGUACUAAAUGGUUGUGAGAUUUCAAUUGAGCUAUUUAUGUUACUCAUUUGACAUAUUUUGAUACAUUUGGAUUAGGUAGGAAAAAAAUAGAGUGCGCAUGCCCUUUAUUUUAUUCCUGGGUACCCACACAAUGGAACGCAAAAAUAUCCAGCCGAGCGAGCAGUAAAUCCACCAUACGGGAUGUGCAUACUUAAUACUCCUACAUUGCAACAAAUAAUCGUGAAAAAAAAUGGAAAAAGAAACCAUAUGCGAUCAGGCACAUGACGAAGGAAGGGUCACAUGAAUGAAGAAGAGAGAAAAGCCACAUAUCGACCCGAAUAGCGAAGUGUGGGAGCCGCGAUGGCGGGCACUGGCAGCCAUACAUUGGGCUAUCCAAAAUCUCAUCUCUCGCCCAAUCCCGGCCUCACGAUCUCAAUUCUCACCCCGCGUGCACCACAAGCUCCAAUCCCCUAACUCGUAUAUACAGCCACGCCCGCCUCACCGUCCUUGAUCUUCCCCCCUAUCUGAUCGGAUCCUUUGGACAUGGCGUCGCCCAUGCUCUCCACGGCCAUGGCGCCACUCCAGGUAUUGCUCGUGUUCCAUUUCCAUUCCAUGCUUGCGUAGUAGUACAGUUCUUCCAUGUUUGUGACGCGCGGUGGUUAUGUAACUGGACUGCCAUGCAUCCUCUGUCGAUCCAGGGGGGCAUGCUGGAGUUCUCCGGGCUGAGGAGCUCGUCGUCGCUGCCGCUCCGGCGGAAUGCCACCUCCGACGACUUCAUGUCCGCCGUCUCCUUCAGGACAUACGCGGUAUGAUAUGAAUAUGAUGGGCGGAAUGUGGCUGUCACCUAGGAGUACGUAGCUCGCUUGGUCGCAUGCCAUGAGACAUGAGCGGCGCGUGGUACGGUGGUUGCAGGUGAGCACGAGCGGCGGGUCGCGGAAGGCGCCGACGGAGGCGAAGCUCAAGGUGGCGAUCAACGGGUUCGGGCGCAUCGGGCGCAACUUCCUGCGGUGCUGGCACGGGCGCGGCGACAGCUCGCCGCUGGAGGUGAUCGCCAUCAACGACACCGGAGGCGUGAAGCAGGCGUCCCACCUCCUCAAGUACGACUCCACGCUGGGCAUCUUCGACGCGGACGUCAAGCCCGUGGGCGACAACGCCAUCUCCGUCGACGGCAAGGUGAUCAAGGUCGUGUCCGACCGCAACCCCUCCAACCUGCCGUGGGGCGAGAUGGGCAUCGACCUCGUCAUCGAGGGCACCGGCGUCUUCGUCGACCGCGCCGGCGCGGGCAAGCAUCUCGAGGCCGGAGCCAAGAAGGUGCUCAUCACCGCGCCCGGCAAGGGCGACAUCCCCACCUACGUCUGCGGCGUCAACGCCGACCUCUACACCCACGCCGACACCAUCAUCAGCAACGCCUCAUGCACCACCAACUGCCUCGCCCCCUUCGUCAAGGUCCUCGACCAAAAGUUCGGUACGUGCCCGUCUCCCUCCCUCUCUCUCUCUCUCAACUGAAUCAACUUGUUGACGAUGACUAAUGGCGGCGGUGGCAAUGGCGCAGGCAUCAUCAAGGGAACCAUGACCACAACCCACUCGUACACCGGCGACCAGAGGCUGCUCGACGCGAGCCACCGCGACCUGCGCCGUGCCCGCGCCGCCGCCCUCAACAUAGUGCCGACCUCCACCGGCGCGGCCAAGGCCGUGGCGCUGGUGCUCCCCAACCUCAAGGGCAAGCUCAACGGGAUCGCGCUCCGGGUGCCCACCCCCAACGUGUCCGUCGUCGACCUCGUGGUGCAGGUCUCCAAGAAGACCCUCGCCGAGGAGGUGAACCAGGCGUUCCGCGACGCCGCCGCCAACGAGCUCAAGGGCAUCCUCGACGUCUGCGACGAGCCCCUCGUGUCCGUCGACUUCAGGUGCUCCGACGUCUCCUCCACCAUCGACGCGUCGCUCAGCAUGGUCAUGGGAGACGACAUGGUCAAGGUCAUUGCAUGGUACGACAACGAGUGGGGUUACUCCCAGAGGGUCGUCGACCUCGCCGACAUCGUCGCCAACCAAUGGAAGUGAACGCCCCCCCACAGCGGCAUUGCCCUGUCAAGUGACUCCUCUCGAAAUUUUCCCCAGCCGUCGUCACGGAUGAUCGAUUCUUUGUAAUGAGAAUUCAAAGUAUCGAGCUCCCAACAC